GGGUGAGUGUGCCGAGAGGCGAAGGCAGCGGUCUGUAAAACCGUGACAUUGAAACACCGAUGGUUCAAAUCCAUCCUCACCCA
rnacentral:tRNA from 1 species